GAGUUUGAUCCUGGCUCAGGAUGAACGCUAGCGGCAGGCUUAACACAUGCAAGUCGAGGGGUAAAUAUAGCAAUAUAUGAGACCGGCAAACGGGUGCGGAACACGUACUGAACCUACCUUGAUCUGGGGCAUAGCCCGGAGAAAUCCGGAUUAACUCCCCAUAGUAUGGAAUGGUGGCAUCACCUAACCAUUAAAAAUUUAUUGGAUCAAGAUGGCAGUGCGUCCCAUUAGCUAGUUGGUAGGGUAACGGCCUACCAAGGCGACGAUGGGUAGCUGGUGUGAGAGCACGACCAGCCACACGGGCACUGAGACACGGGCCCGACUCCUACGGGAGGCAGCAGUGAGGAAUAUUGGUCAAUGGACGCAAGUCUGAACCAGCCAUGCCGCGUGAAGGAUGAAGGCCUUCUGGGUUGUAAACUUCUUUUAUGUGGGAAGAAACCUCUGAUUUCUAUUAGAGUUGACGGUACCAUAGGAAUAAGCACCGGCUAACUCCGUGCCAGCCGCCGCAGUAAU
rnacentral:rRNA from 1 species